GAUCCUGCUCAGAUUGAACGCUGGCGGCAGGCUUAACACAUGCAAGUCGAACGGUAACAUAAAGGAGCUUGCUUCUUUGAUGACGAGUGGCGGACGGGUGAGUAAUGCUUGGGAAUCUAGCUUAUGGAGGGGGGAUAACUACGGGAAACUGUAGCUAAUACCGCGUAGAAUCGGGAGAUGAAAGUGUGGGACCUUCGGGCCACAUGCCAUAGGAUGAGCCCAAGUGGGAUUAGGUAGUUGGUGAGG
rnacentral:rRNA from 1 species